rnacentral:misc_RNA from 1 species
CCAGCUUCAGCUUCUCUGUUUUGGCAGCUGGUUUCAAGCGAGGACGGUAGGCGUUGUCAAGAAGCCUGCGAAAGUCGAAAAUCGUCUUGUUGUCGGACAUCUGGGUGGAAUCAACUGUGAGCUCAUCGUGGAUACGGAGACCCACAGUGGCUUCAGAGAAGCAGUGUGUUCUGUUGUCAUUGGUGAAGUCAAUUGGCGGGUAAUCUGAGAGCUGGGCGAUGAUUUCGCCGUACUUGGUUAUCCACCAGUCAUGAUACUCAAGGAGGACGAAGACCACUUGCUUGUUGAAUUUCUGCGCGGUGAUGAAGAGUGGGAUGAUGCCGUCGUUGAACUCGUGAUAGACGUUGCCAGUGUAUCCUCCGGUGGAGAAGACGAUGGCAGGGACGGAGUGAUGGACGUCGCAGGUGGCAGCAUCGCCUGUAGUGGCUCCGCGGAGGCGAAGCUCGUCGAUGGUGGACAUGGUGUUGGAUUCCCACUUGCGAGUGUAGGGCCGGAUUGUUUGCUCUGCGGUGGUGUUGGUGUUGGCGAGGAGGAGGGAGCUGGUGGCGGCGUGGGUGCGGAUGUCUCCGCGCAUGAAGCAGACGUCGGUCCGGCGGGCGGUGCGGUCGCAGCAGAUGGUGUUGUUGGAGACAGUGGGGCACGGGGGUGGGAUGGUAGGGAAAGGGUCGGACUUUAGCUGUUCGUCCGCAAGGCCCAGGAGGCGAGUGGCGAAGAGGACGGUGCAGGAGAGGAGGGAAAAGAGGAAGAGGAUGCCGAAAAGGGUGGACUUGGAGAGACGGGUGGG